rnacentral:rRNA from 1 species
UCUAUGGCCAUACCACCCUGAACGCACUCGAUCUCAUCUGAUCUCAGAAGCUAAGCAGGGUCGGGCCUGGUUAGUACUUGGAUGGGAGGAAGGAGGAGGCAGCCUUCAGAG